UGGGGAAUAUUGCACAAUGGGCGGAAGCCUGAUGCAGCGACGCCGCGUGGGGGAUGACGGCCUUCGGGUUGUAAACUCCUUUCAGCAGGGACGAAGCUUUUUGUGACGGUACCUGUAGAAGAAGCACCGGCUGACUACGUGCCAGCAGCCGCGGUAAUACGUAGGGUGCGAGCGUUGUCCGGAAUUAUUGGGCGUAAAGAGCUUGUAGGCGGUUUGUCGCGUCUGCCGUGAAAGCCCAGGGCUUAACCCUGGGUCUGCGGUGGGUACGGGCAGGCUAGAGUGUGGUAGGGGAGACUGGAAUUCCUGGUGUAGCGGUGAAAUGCGCAGAUAUCAGGAGGAACACCGAUGGCGAAGGCAGGUCUCUGGGCCACUACUGACGCUGAGAAGCGAAAGCAUGGGGAGCGAACA
rnacentral:rRNA from 1 species